rnacentral:rRNA from 1 species
UACGGAGGAUCCGAGCGUUAUCCGGAUUUAUUGGGUUUAAAGGGUGCGCAGGCGGGAGAUUAAGUCAGCGGUGAAAUUUUGGAGCUCAACUGUAAAAGUGCCUUCGAAACUUGUUUCCUUGAGUGUGGAUGAAGUAGGCGGAAUUUGUGGUGUAGCGGUGAAAUGCAUAGAUAUCACGAGGAACUCCGAUUGCGCAGGCAGCUUACUAAACCACUACUGACGCUCAUGCACGAAGGCGUGGGGAUCAAACAGG